AACGAACGCUGGCGGCGUGCCUAACACAUGCAAGUCGAGCGCGAAAGGAGCAAUCCGAGUAGAGCGGCGCACGGGUGCGUAACACGUGGAUAAUCUGCCUCAGGGUUGAGGAUAACCUUCCGAAAGGUUGGCUAAUACUCGGUAAGCUUACGGUGACUUUGGUCGCUGUGAGAAAACUAGACCUCUAUUUAUAAGUUUAGGCCCAGAGAUGAGUCCGCGGCCCAUCAGCUAGUUGGCGGGGUAACGGCCCACCAAGGCUACGACGGGUAGCUGGUCUGCGAGGACGAUCAGCCACACUGGAACUGAGACACGGUCCAGACUCCUACGGGAGGCAGCAGUGGGGAAUUUUCCACAAUGGGCGAAAGCCUGAUGGAGCAACGCCGCGUGUGUGAUGAAGGUCUUCGGAUCGUAAAGCACUUUCGACUGGGACGAAAAACCUUUGGCUAACAUCCAGGGGCCUGACGGUACCAGGAGAAGAAGCACCGGCUAACUCUGUGCCAGCCGCCGCCGUAACAC
rnacentral:rRNA from 1 species